rnacentral:lncRNA from 1 species
CGACAUAACGACAUUUCGAUAGAAAUACUGUGAAAUGCAGUAUUCUAUAUUCCGAUUUAUAAUAAUUUGCUGACUAUUUAAUUAACAUGUGCAAAUUUCUGGUAUUAUCGACCAGAAGUAUUGCAACAACCUAUUCUUAGAGCUGGAGAAAUAAAAACCUGCUUCGUAUUUGCAGAAAUUGUGAAUUGUGGAACUCUUGCAUGUGAUGACCGAUGACGGAUUUUCUAAUCUCCCUA